rnacentral:rRNA from 1 species
GACGAACGCUGGCGGCGUGCCUAAUACAUGCAAGUCGAACGCUGAAGAGAGGAGCUUGCUCUUCUUGGAUGAGUUGCGAACGGGUGAGUAACGCGUAGGUAACCUGCCUUGUAGCGGGGGAUAACUAUUGGAAACGAUAGCUAAUACCGCAUAACAAUGGAUGACACAUGUCAUUUAUUUGAAAGGGGCAAUUGCUCCACUACAAGAUGGACCUGCGUUGUAUUAGCUAGUAGGUGAGGUAAUGGCUCACCUAGGCGACGAUACAUAGCCGACCUGAGAGGGUGAUCGGCCACACUGGGACUGAGACACGGCCCAGACUCCUACGGGAGGCAGCAGUAGGGGAUCUUCGGCAAUGGGGGCAACCCUGACCGAGCAACGCCGCGUGAGUGAAGAAGGUUUUCGGAUCGUAAAGCUCUGUUGUAAGUCAAGAACGGGUGUGAGAGUGGAAAGUUCACACUGUGACGGUAGCUUACCAGAAAGGGACGGCUAACUACGUG